rnacentral:rRNA from 1 species
UACAGAGGGUGCGAGCGUUGUUCGGAAUUAUUGGGCGUAAAGGGCGCGUAGGCGGCGCCACAAGUCACCUGUGAAAACUCUGGGCUCAACCCAGAGCCUGCAGGCGAAACUGUGGUGCUGGAGUAUGGGAGAGGUGCGUGGAAUUCCCCGGUGUAGCGGUGAAAUGCGUAGAUAUUGGGAAGAACACCGGUGGCGAAGGCGGCGACCUGGUCCUUGACUGACGCUGAGGCGCGAAAGCGUGGGGAGCAAACAGG